UACGUAGGCAGCAAGCGUUGUUCGGAGUUACUGGGCGUAAAGAGUGCGUAGGCGGUGCUCUAAGUUUGGUGUGAAAUCUCCCGGCUCAACUGGGAGGGUGCGCCGAAAACUGGAGUGCUUGAGUAUGGGAGAGGCAAGCGGAAUUCCUGGUGUAGCGGUGAAAUGCGUAGAUAUCAGGAGGAACACCGGUGGCGAAGGCGGGUCUCUGGGUAGUAACUGACGCUGGAGGAGCGAAAGCCGUGGGGAGCGAACAGG
rnacentral:rRNA from 1 species